GCGGCUCCGGGCGGUCUGGAAAACCCGGGAUGGAACACGGAGGCCGCGGAGCCGAUGCGCGGCACCGCAGCGCGCAGUACCGCGCGUGGGGCGGGGGCGGGAGCCGGGCUGGGGUCAAGGUCGGCGCGGGCAAGCGGCGGGGGCCAGCAUGCGCCUCACCCGGCCCAGCGCUUUGCAGCUGCUGUCACGCGCGCACACUCAGGCUUGGCCGGAGCCUGCCGCGUGCUGGUAGCUGAAAUCCAGGCGUUUCCACGGUUGCAGUAGCUGUGAGACCCCAGCCGAGUAUCCACCUCAUGCAGGGAACCCAAGCCAGAAGGUAUGAAGAGGGUGAGCUUGUCCCAUUGCACUGAUGUGUCUUAAGGAUGUCCCUACUAUGUAGACAUAAAGCUCCUUGAUGAAAAGAUGGACAGUGCCCGGCAAGUGGAAACGGUAACUACCACAUGGUUCUGAGAAGUAAAGCGAUUACAGACACUGGCUCCAGAUCAGAGGGGGUUUUGCACCAUCCAUUCCAAGUGCUCGGUGAACACCUGCUGGGUACCAGGCACAGGACAGGGUUGGACAGAGAACAGUAAGCAGGCCCCGGCUGCCACGUUCCAGCCUGUGUGAAAGAAGGACCAUUGAGAUGUGAAAGAACACCCAUUGAGAUGGAGGAGCAGCACCCAGGAGAUGCUCUCAGGGUCUGGCCGCAUUGCUGCUCUUUACAUUGAGCUGCAGAAGGAAGAGAUGUGAAGGAGACAUACCCGAACCAGGGCUUCCAAAGCUUUGUUCUUUCAUCCAGGGGCUGCGUCCAUGCCCGACACAAAUGCGGGAAGAGAGCACGACCACAGGCCCCCUGCCUGACCUUGAGCUGUACGUCUGACUCACUCCCAGUGAUGGGCACUCAGCACGAAGCUGCCUCAGGAAAUCAGGCCACUGCAUCCAUCUGACUGGGCUGCUGGGCGCUUUCAUCUCUGUCCUUGGCUGGGGGUAGCCUGUCCAUCUCCACAAGAUGGAAACAGCACUUUGAACUGCAUGGAAAAAAUGUACAGAGAGGAGACAAAUACUCUUGGCCAAGCUUUCAGAGGAAAUAGAAGGUAUGUUCAUUAAAAUAUGUCUCUGAUGAUAAUCAGCACUGGAAAUUCAAAAGGUGUUACCUUGAAUAAAUAUUUUUUUCACA